GACGAACGCUGGCGGCGUGCUUAACACAUGCAAGUCGAGCGGUGAAGCUCCAGCUUGCUGGAGUGGAUCAGUGGCGAACGGGUGAGUAACACGUGAGCAACCUGCCCCUGACUCUGGAAUAAGCGCUGGAAACGGCGUCUAAUACUGGAUACGAGAAGGGUCCGCAUGGGCACUUUCUGGAAAGUUUUUCGGUUGGGGAUGGGCUCGCGGCCUAUCAGCUUGUUGGUGAGGUAAUGGCUCACCAAGGCGACGACGGGUAGCCGGCCUGAGAGGGCGACCGGCCACACUGGGACUGAGACACGGCCCAGACUCCUACGGGAGGCAGCAGUGGGGAAUAUUGCACAAUGGGCGAAAGCCUGAUGCAGCGACGCCGCGUGAGGGAUGACGGCCUUCGGGUUGUAAACCUCUUUCAGCAGAGAAGAAGCGAAAGUGACGGUACCUGCAGAAGAAGCACCGGCUAACUACGUG
rnacentral:rRNA from 1 species